AUUGAACGCUGGCGGCAUGCCUUACACAUGCAAGUCGAACGGUAACAGGUCUUCGGAUGCUGACGAGUGGCGAACGGGUGAGUAAUACAUCGGAACGUGCCUAGUAGUGGGGGAUAACUACUCGAAAGAGUGGCUAAUACCGCAUGAGAUCUACGGAUGAAAGCAGGGGAUCGCAAGACCUUGUGCUACUAGAGCGGCCGAUGGAAGAUUAGGUAGUUGGUGGGAUAAAAGCUUACCAAGCCGAGGAUCUGUAGCUGGUCUGAGAGGACGAUCAGCCACACUGGGACUGAGACACGGCCCAGACUCCUACGGGAGGCAGCAGUGGGGAAUUUUGGACAAUGGGCGCAAGCCUGAUCCAGCAAUGCCGCGUGCAGGAUGAAGGCCUUCGGGUUGUAAACUGCUUUUGUACGGAACGAAAAGCCCUGGGUUAAUACCCUGGGGUCAUGACGGUACCGUAAGAAUAAGCACCGGCUAACUACGUGCCAGCAGCCGCCGUAAAAC
rnacentral:rRNA from 1 species